rnacentral:rRNA from 1 species
UACGGAGGGUGCGAGCGUUAUUCGGAAUCACUGGGCGUAAAGGGCGCGUAGGCGGCCUGGUAAGUCAGGGGUGAAAUCCCACGGCUCAACCGUGGAAUUGCCUUUGAAACUGCUGGGCUUGGAUCCUGGAGAGGGUGGCGGAAUUCCUGGUGUAGGAGUGAAAUCCGUAGAUAUCGGGAGGAACACCAGUAGCGAAGGUGGCUAUCUGGCUGGUAACUGACGCUGAGGUGCGAGAGCGUGGGGAGCAAACAGG